rnacentral:rRNA from 1 species
GAUGAACGCUAGCGGCAGGCCUAACACAUGCAAGUCGAGGGGUAUAGGAAGCUUGCUUCCUUGAGACCGGCGCACGGGUGCGUAACGCGUAUGCAAUCUACCUUGUACAGGGGAAUAGCCCAGAGAAAUUUGGAUUAAUGCCUCAUGGUAUAUAGUUUUCGCAUGAUUACUAUAUUAAAGAUUUAUCGGUACAAGAUGAGCAUGCGUCCCAUUAGUUAGUUGGUGUGGUAACGGCACACCAAGACGAUGAUGGGUAGGGGUCCUGAGAGGGAGAUCCCCCACACUGGUACUGAGACACGGACCAGACUCCUACGGGAGGCAGCAGUGAGGAAUAUUGGGCAAUGGAGGCAACUCUGACCCAGCCAUGCCGCGUGCAGGAAGACGGUCCUAUGGAUUGUAAACUGCUUUUAUACGGGAAGAAACACUCCGACGUGUCGGAGCUUGACGGUACCGUAAGAAUAAGGAUCGGCUAACUCCGUGCCAGCAG